rnacentral:sRNA from 1 species
CAUCACGCUGGCCGUCGGUGAGACUGCACGACCUCGGCCCGCGCGGGCUCCCGCCCCGGCAUCGCGGCUGGACUCUAUUACCUGGCAGAACUGAUAGAAGAAUACACAGUGGCCACCAGCAGGAUCAUAAAAUACAUGAUCUGGUUCUCCACCGCUGUACUGAUUGGCCUCUACGUCUUUGAGCGCUUCCCCACCAGCAUGAUUGGAGUGGGCCUAUUCACCAACCUCGUCUACUUUGGCCUCCUCCAGACCUUCCCCUUCAUCAUGCUGACCUCGCCUAACUUCAUCCUGUCGUGUGGACUAGUGGUGGUGAAUCAUUACCUAGCAUUUCAGUUUUUUGCAGAAGAAUAUUAUCCCUUCUCAGAGGUCCUGGCCUAUUUCACUUUCUGCCUGUGGAUAAUUCCGUUUGCGUUUUUUGUGUCACUUUCGGCCGGGGAGAACGUCCUGCCCUCUACCAUGCAGCCAGGAGAUGAUGUCGUCUCCAAUUAUUUCACCAAAGGCAAGCGGGGCAAACGCUUAGGGAUCCUGGUUGUCUUCUCCUUCAUCAAAGAGGCCAUUCUACCCAGUCGUCAGAAGAUAUACUGA